rfam:Papilio xuthus contig17205, whole genome shotgun sequence.
UCAAAGGCCCUUUUCAGGGCCACAAAAUACAUCGAAUUUUAUAUCU